rnacentral:lncRNA from 1 species
GUCACGCCCCGGGACUGGCGGAGGCCCUCCCGGUAGCGUGCCCAGACCCGCCAUAUGUCUACACAUAUAAGGCGUCUACAAGAAAAGCGGAAGUAAAAGCAAGAGAUGGAACAAAUGAAAGAAGUGAAGUAACAAGCAACUAAUGAUAUCAGAGCGAGUAAAGUUCUAACAUCUAUACUAAUAGUAAUAGAACAUAACUAAUACAUAAAAGUAAACAUAAGUUAUACAAUAUCAGCCUCUAAUACAAAAAUGGUGGUCUCUAGUACACUGGUAAAACUCUCAACCUCUCCAAAAAAAAGUACAACGAGAGGUAGACCACCUAGCAAGUCGUCCUCGUAGGAGCUAGCUCGAAGCAACUCCCUUCCGGCGGUCCCUGGCCUCACCCUGAGUGGAAGGCUCUGAAAAACAUCGAGAAAAAGAGGGCGUGAGAACUAUAAUUUAUAGUUCCCAGUGGGCAAUUACUGACCUCAGCUCCUGCUCCACUAGGCCCCAAAAACAAGGGUAAGAAACGUAAUAGCAACAAGCAAUAAAAAGGAGCAUGUAAUAAACUGCUGAAAGAGAGAGCAUAAGUAAAAUGCUAUACUACUAUAUCCCUCAUAAGCAAGAUGUCAAAAUGUUGUACGCCUAUUCUAUCAUAAGGAAAAGUAACCAAUGGCAAUAGUUUACUGCUACAACCCUUUAUUCAUACAUGAUGUAUAAGCUCGAUCAUGGCAACCAAGUACACUGUGAUGAAGUAGGUAACUGUCAAGUGUACUACAUGUCUCAACCCUAGGCUAUGUGCAUGCAAAUGUAAUCCAACUACCAAACCUGUCUAGUAGUGAUUGUUCAUUCUCAAACCGUGUCGAUUUCUAUUUCCAAUUAGGGACCUACCCAAGGUAGUCUAGCUUGUGCCGCCUAAGUGCCUGUGGUAGCCCAACAUCCCUACUCUUGGAAUGUGUCUGUCCCACUCGACCCCGUAGGCGUCUCAAUACCGCACGAGCGAACAAAAGUCGCAUAGGCCAACUCCGGAGUGCCGGCUUGUGGGGAGCGACCCUCACAAGCAUGUACGAAUGAGCACAAAUGGCAAAUAAGCAAAGUCACUGUCUCAAGUACUCAAUCCUCAUGUCUCUAACAUGGUAUAGUCACUAGCAUCCCGAAGAUCUAGUUCAAAGUCAUAAUGUGAAGUCCCAACACACACUUGCUUAGUGCCUCUUUAUGACACUUAAGCUCCACAACUGAUCAUGUUUCGAUUAAGACAUUAACAUUAACGCUCGCUAUGCCCCGGGCCCCAAUGCCUCUUCAUGACAUUGGCCCAAUUUCACAUAUCCUUUAAGUCUCUAAACCUCUCUAGGCAUCCAAAAAUCCCUAAUGUCAUAACUGGUAUAUAGUUUGAAUGCAUGAAAGCAAGGUUCGUUUUCAUAAUAGGGAUUGUAAUUUCAAGUCUCAACUAGAAUGCUAGGCCACACAUACAUGCUCUCUACUAUAUAGAGGUCCCAAAAUUUACUACACAUAACCUAUGCAUGUUAAGCAUU